rfam:Clostridium sp. JC272 contig290, whole genome shotgun sequence.
AAAAAAGGUAGAGGCGCGGUACUUAUAAGUACUAGUGAUGAGUUAAGCACAUAGAUUUACUAGGAAAGGAAUUAUCGCCGAAGUUUAUAACUGAUGCUUUAAGGUUAUAUGCUGGGGAUGUAUAAAAUAUAUACAUCACUGUCACAAAUUAUAUUUGUGUUGAGCUAUCAUUUAA